UACGGAGGGAGCUAGCGUUAUUCGGAAUUACUGGGCGUAAAGCGUACGUAGGCGGCUUUGCAAGUUAGAGGUGAAAGCCUGGAGCUCAACUCCAGAACUGCCUUUAAAACUGCAUCGCUUGAAUCCAGGAGAGGUGAGUGGAAUUCCGAGUGUAGAGGUGAAAUUCGUAGAUAUUCGCAAGAACACCAGUGGCGAAGGCGGCUCACUGGCCCGAUACUGACGCUGAGGCACGAAAGCGUGGGGGAGCAAACAGGG
rnacentral:rRNA from 1 species